UUUAUUUCAUCCGGCGGCGAAAUCUUAACCCUAUUUGUGAAAUCUUAACCCUAUUUGUGAUUUUUCAUCCGGCGGCGAAAUCAGGCGACAAACACUCUUUUCGUUUCUUCUAUGUAGGUAAUUAGGGUUCUACAUUUCUUCACCGAUUUUUCUUUUUCCGAUAUUCCAUUGCUUGCUUGCUUCCUGCAAUUCAUCUUCCAGAUUUCAAUGUAGAUGGUAAAACCCCAGAUUUCGGGUGUUUUCUUUUUUUCCCGAUUGGUUCAUCUAUUUUUUCUGUAUGCAUCUGGUCGAGUUGUAGUGUGUGUUUGAAAGGAUCAAGAUAAAA
rnacentral:lncRNA from 1 species